UACGUAGGUGGCAAGCGUUGUCCGGAGUUAUUGGGCGUAAAGCGCGCGCAGGCGGUUCGGUAAGUCCAUGGUGAAAGCGCCUGGCUCAACUAGGCGAGUGCCGUGGGGACUGUCGAGCUGGAGUGGAGCAGAGGCGAGUGGAAUUCCGGGUGUAGUGGUGAAAUGCGUAGAGAUCCGGAGGAACACCAGUGGCGAAGGCGGCUCGCUGGGCUCAAACUGACGCUGAGGCGCGAAAGCGUGGGGAGCGAACCG
rnacentral:rRNA from 1 species